CGCAGGGUAGAGCAGCCAGGUAGCUCGCGCGGCUCAUAACCACGAGGCCACAGGUUCGAAUCCUGUCCCUGCAACCA
rnacentral:tRNA from 1 species